UUCUGACACUUAAAUAUAAGGUGGUUAACGGUUCCUUCUUCAGCUUCACAGAAAGUACAGAUAUUGUUUUGUAUCAAUCCAAGUCUGGCAAGGUGUGAUGGUGCAGCAUUGUGUCCGUAGCGCAACCGGUUUAUAGUAGUGAUAAAAUCUCGACUGGCUUUUUGCAGAAAAAUGUGAAACAACAUUGGAGAGUUGCCAAGAAGAAGACCCUCUCCAGUUGCCAAGGAACCAGACACAUUUACUCUAUGAGGUCGGAGAUGAGUGAAAUGAAACUAUCAGCGCAACUUCGCCCUCGACGAAAGCCGUACUGCAAAUAUGGAAUGAUACCAUUAGCCUCCACAAACCAAUCUAAACGGACUUUAAUCAUGUUUUCAAAUAAUUUACCAAGACAAGAUGACAAGGAGAUUGGGCGAUAGGAACUAGCCUGUUCUGGAGAUUUAUCUGGUUUAAGUAUUGGAAUAACACACUGUGAUUUCCAGGAUUCAGGAAUAAUUAAAUUAAGCCAUAAUAUAUUAAGAACAUCAAGAAAUAACUUCUGGGCAGAUACAUGAAGCUCUUUGAUUACAAUAUAAGGAAAAUUAUCUAAACCUGGACU